CUAGGUAACCCAGACCCAUCCCCUGGGUACUGAAAAUAAAGAUGCCAGCUCCAUGCCAAUGGUCCUUCGUGUUUGAGACCUGAGAGCCCCUCCACCACACCAUUCAUUCCUCCCCUUCCCCCAAAUCCACUGCCCUUUUCUUGGCUUCUGAUUCCCACCUGCUCCCUACAGAGACUGUAUAGUGAAUCAGUUCUGACCACCGUGGUCCAAGUGGCUGGCAAAGUGCAGGAAGUGCUGAAGAUAGGAAAACAAAGGGCAAUCACAGUAGCUUGCCCAAAUAUAUCCAGCUAAUAAUUGCUGGGUAGCUCUGCUUUUUAUUGAGUGAUUGGUGGAUGACAAAGCUGCUCUUGGUCCUUUCUGGAAUGAGUAAGGUUGGAGUCUCCUUCAACCAGCUGAUGAAAGGUCUAGGACAGAAACCUCUACACCUACCUCAUUGCAAGCAGGGCCAGGUCUGUGGUGGCAUCUAGGGAGGGGACAGAAGAUAGUGCCCUGCACGGGAUUGAAGAACUGAAGAAGGUCUGUGUUUUCCCCUGAUAGUCAACCAGACGUCUCUGUCUGUUCCUUCUCACGAGGACACUGAAGUCCCCAUCCAGCCAAAGCCCGUUCUCUUCCGCAGUCCUGACCCUGACAUCUCCAUGCAAUAGGU